rnacentral:ncRNA from 2 species
UACAAAUUUGCUGUGCAUGGUGCCUAAGUGGAAUAAUAGGGAAUUCAGUGAAAAUCUGGAACUGUACUCGCAGCUGUAAAUCUUUUUAAUGAAUAUCUGAUAGCCAUUGCUACUAAGCGAGAAGGUAGAUAUCUCAGAGAUAAGUCAGAAGACCUACCAAGCAGUAGUUAUGAAG